rnacentral:misc_RNA from 1 species
CGCACAUUGCGCCCCUUGGCAUUCCGGGGGGCAUGCCUGUUCGAGCGUCAUUUCACCAAUCAAGCAGCAGUGCUUGGAGUUGGGCGCACAAGGCCGGGGCUCCUCGCGAGACCCGGGCCCGCCCGGAAGGCAUCGGUGGGGGAUACCGACCCCUGGCGUGUUGAGAAUCCCGCAAGGGUUCGUACGCCAGGAGCACCGGGCUCCACCCCCGUCACCAAAACACCCAAAACAAAAGGUUGACCUCGGAUCAGGUAGGGAUACCCGCUGAACUUAA